rnacentral:rRNA from 1 species
GAUGAACGCUAGCUACAGGCUUAACACAUGCAAGUCGAGGGGAAACGGCAUCGAAAGCUUGCUUUUGAUGGGCGUCGACCGGCGCACGGGUGAGUAACGCGUAUCCAACCUGCCCAUCACUUGGGAAUAACCUUGCGAAAGUAAGACUAAUGCCCAAUGACAUCCCACGAAGGCAUCCGAAUGGGAUUAAAGAUUUAUCGGUGAUGGAUGGGGAUGCGUCUGAUUAGCUUGUUGGCGGGGUGACGGCCCACCAAGGCAACGAUCAGUAGGGGUUCUGAGAGUAAGGUCCCCCACAUUGGAACUGAGACACGGUCCAAACUCCUACGGGAGGCAGCAGUGAGGAAUAUUAGUCAAUGGGCGAGAGCCUGAACCAGCCAAGUAGCGUGCAGGAUGACGGCCCUAUGGGUUGUAAACUGCUUUUAUAAGGGAAUAAAGUGGGUCACGUGUGACUUUUUGCAUGUACCUUAUGAAUAAGGACCGGCUAAUUCCGUG